CUAAUUUAGCUCAAAAUUUGUGGUUCGCUCCAGCCUCCAGUACUCACAUAUUACCUCCUCCGUUUCCUCUCUCUUGUCUUCUCGCUUUCUCACAAUCUGCAGUUGUGACAUGGACGACCUUCCACUGCAGAAAAUACAAAUAUCGGGGCCAACCCUAGCCUCCAUGAUCCAACGCUUCUCCACCGCUCUUGGCGACGUGGACGGUCUCCUGUUCGGCCACGUCUCCCACAUCGCUCCCUCCUCCCUCUCCGACGACGACCCGCUGGGCUCCUCCUCCGAUCCCUCCACCUUCGUCGCCACCGUCUCCGGAUUCCUCUGCUCCGGAACCAUCGACAGUUUCUACGACUCCUCCGGCCAAGUCAACGUUCUCGCCCUUCGCCGCCUCCUAGCCGACCGCGUCCCCCUUCGUUCCCUCAUUGGUUGGUUCUCCGGCCGCCGCCGAUCCCCCCUCCGCCCUUCCCUUCGGGAGUCCUCCGUCACCGCCUGUCUCUCCACCAAAGCUCAAUUCUCUUUCCCAAUCGAAAACUCCCCCUCCAAUUUCAGACCUUCUCUCUUCCUCCUAUUCGCCUCGCCAUUGUCGGAUCAAGUCAUUCACACGCAUGAGUACAAAGCGUACCAGUACUGUCUCUCUUCUCAGACUCUCGAGCCCAAAUCAAUCGACAUCGUCAACAUUGGACCCGCAUUCCGCGGCCAUUACGGUUCGUUUAGCCCUAGCUCUCCCUUCCCUUCGUUGGCCUGUGAUUUGAGGGGUUCGCCAAUGGCGGAGGACGACACCGAUGCGACGCGAGUCUCCAAGGCUCAGGCUCAGCGCGAAUUGGAUACUUGCGCGGAGGGUGUCCAGAUUGGGAGUCUACGUCGGUUGAUGGGCUCUGAAGCCACGAAUUAUACAGCCGGAUUGGAGGAUUUGUACGAGAAGAUGCUAGCCAAGCUGGACAGCUUGGCUCGCCUUGUGGAGAAGACUUCAGCCAAGGUUCAUGAGCAGGAAAGUCACAAUGUGAAGUUAAGCUUUUCACUACCACCUGAUUGUUGGAGCCUCUUCAUGAAGUAAUGGAUCCAAUUGCUGUACUCUGUUAUGACUUCUCAAUAUCCUCUUUGGCUUUGUCAAGAGCCAAAUUCAGGAGAAACACAUGAUGUAGAACAAGAGCUCCUUAUUGAUCUUCUCUUCUUUCACAGUUGAAAACAGGACGAUGACCCAUCAAAUCUUGCUGUUGACCAUUGUAAAAAUAUCCAAUGAGCAUGGAAUUACAUUUGAUUAUUCAUGCUGUUCUAUCUUUUGGUGGCUUUUGAGCUGAUCAUGGAACUGCUACUGCUAGUUCUUGGGAUUGGAAUUCUUUUGGUUAUUUAAAUGAUAGGGAUGGGUUGAUGCUACCUUCUGUUUUGGGUAUAUGCACACUAGGUAACUUAUCCCUUAAUGUGUAUUCUUGUAUUUUGCCUCGUUAUAUUUCUGCUUCCCACCCAUGGUCACAUAUAUGUAUCUUUUCUGAAGUUCAUUUAGGUUUUUUGUCAACUCAACAGUGCCUACUUUUUCGUAUCCACGGUUGUGUUCCCAACAGUUAGCAUGAAGCUAUCAAACUGCUUGGGAUUUGUAAGGUUCGUGGCCCUAUAUUUUCUAUAGGUGUAAUUGAGCUUCACUAA